AUUCAAAUAGUUUAUAUUAAAACAUUCCAUUUUCAAUGGAAAAAUAAAAUAAUUUUUUUGAAUA
rnacentral:tRNA from 1 species